rnacentral:pre_miRNA from 1 species
CCCACAUGGGAAUCUUGUUAAAAUGCAGAUUCUGAUUCAGUUGCUCUAAGAUGGAGACUGAGAUUCUGCAUUUCUAACAUACUCCUGGGUGAUGCUGA